GGCUUUGGUGGCUAGCCCGAAUAAGCCACCGGGUUACAAAUCAGAAUUUUAUGCUAGAAUUGUCAGGAGUUUGGCACACCAUUGACAGUUCAAAAUUUGAGAGCCAUUGGCUCAGGAAAGGCCGAUUUGAUUCUGUUAAUGGAAACAAAGAACAAAGAAAAUGUGAUUUUUCGUGUUAGGAGACAGGUGAAAUUUAAACACAGCUUUGUGGUGAACCCGAUAGAAAUUACAGGGGGUCUAACGGCAAUAUGGAAUGAAGAAGUUGAUGUAGUGGUAGAAUCUCCUUCUCGGGAAAUGAUCAACUUGAUAUGUGAAGAUCAUAAUAGCAUAAACAAAAUGCCGAUUACUUGCGUGCAUGCUCCAAAAUCUAUUUCAGCAAAGAUUACAGUUAUGGGAUAAAAUGAGACAAAUCAGUCUUUCUAAUAGCUUACCAUGGGUUUGUUUGGGGGACUUAAAUUAGGUGCUUUACUAUUGGGAGAAGGUUGGCACUAGGAUGGUGGAAAAUUAUACAAUGCAGCGCCUUCUAAAAUUGUUUACAAGAUUGUUCGUUAAUGGAAAUUGACUGCCAAGAGUGUGUUUUUACCUGGUCCAACAACAGAGAAGGGGCUGAUUUGGUUAAGGAGAAGCUGGAUACAAUAUUUUGUUCUCUACAAUGGAGGAUCAUGUUCCCGAAAGCAAAAGCGUACGCUCUCCCAGCAGUUGGGUCAGAUGAUAGCCCUCUCCUACUUGUGAGCAGUGCUGAAUCUGUAAAGAAAAAAAGAGAAUUUCAAUUUGAGACUUUCUAGACUGAAGAUGUGGAAUGUAGAGAAAUAGUUAAACAAGCAUGACAAUCUCACACUCUUCAUGAAGAAGGCCUAAGAGACAAACUAUAGGCUGUAUGUUUUGCUUUGAAAGAAUGGAGUAAGAUGAAGUUCUCCAAUAGCCAUCUUCGCAUAUCAGUUCUAAAGUAAGAGCUUCUAUCCUUAACAAAUAGUGCAAACUCGACUCAAAGCUCUAAUCGGGUAAUGCUCUUAAAAGAAGAAAUUGAAACUUUAAGGAGGAUAGAAGAGAUGUUUUGGAGUUUAAGAUCCCGAAUCAAUUGGUUACAAUGGGAAGAUAAAAACACGAGAUAUUUUUAUGCACCAACUAUUCAAAGGAGGCAGAAAAAAUAGAAUUACUAUGCUAAAGAAUUCAUCGGAGCAGUGGAUACGGGACAAGCAACAACUUCAGAACCUAAUCAUGUCCUUUUUCAAAGAGUUACACACUACGGUAGGGCCUCGAAAUUGCCAACCAGUGCUGGACCAAUGCCCAAUGCUCAUUGGAGAUGAAAUUAAUGAAUGUCUAGUGGUAGAAGUAAUGCUGGAAGAAGUUCAAGUUGAUGUUUUUCAACUUGGUGCGCAGAAAGCUCCUGGUCCAGAUGGUUUAAAUGGAAUUUUCUACCAAUAUCAUUGGGAUAUAAUCAAUAACGGUACUUUUGAGAAAGUUAAGGGUUUUUUUUUUUCGAUCGGGAGUAUUAGAUCUAGCCCUAAACAAAACUCAUAUUACCUUAAUUCCCAAGAUACCCCAUCCAGAAAAACCUGACCAAUAUCGCCCUAUUAGUCUUUGCAAUUUUGCAUAUAAGAUCAUAUCGAAGAUUCUGGCAAAUAAACUGAAAAGAUGGCUGCCUAUGCUGAUUUUAGGGGAACAAAGUGCCUUUGUAAGUGGAAGAAAGCUUUAAGAUAACAUUUAUAUUGUGCAGGAGGUGUUGCACCAAUUGAGAGUGAGGAAAAGGAAAAAACAUUUUCAAGCGGUGUUGAAAUUAGACAUGCAGAAGGCCUAUGACAUAACAGAAUGGGAUUUCCUAGAAGGAUGCCUGCUGAAAAUGGGGUUCUACGCCAAAUGGGUUAACUGGAUUAUGUAAUGUGUCACUACAAUUACUUUUAACAUGAAAUUUAAUGGUGAAAUUCUCCCUUUUUUCAAUCCUACAAGAGUGAUUAGGUAAGGAGACCCGUUAUCUCCCUAUCUCUUCAUUUUGGUGGAAAAUAGCCUGUCCUCUUUGAUGAGUAAAGCUCUAAUGGAUGUGAGUAUAAAGGGAAUAAAACUGAAUAGGUUCUGCCAUACAUUGACCCAUUUAUUAUUUGUAGAUGAUUCAAUUUUCUUCUUGGAUGGAUCCUUACGGGAAUGUCAGAAUGUUGCAGCUAUGAUAAAUCAAUACUAUUAUGCCUCUGGACAAGCUGUAAAUCUAAACAAGUUAGGUAUAUUUUUUUAGCAAAGAAUGUCCCAAUCUAUUAAGGGAGAACAUGGCAAGAGAGUUGAGGGUUCCAGAGCUUGCUAGGACAAGGAAAUACCUUGGAAUCCCUUCUGAUUGGGGAGAUUCGAAAAAGCAGAUAUUUGCAUGGAUUUUAAAUAGGGCAAAUAUGAAAUUGGAAGGCUGGAAAGAACAAAUUAUAUAUAAAGCAGGCAAGGAAAUUCUCUUGAAAAUCAAUGGUACAGGCAUUACCUCAAUAUGCCAUGUUAGUUUUUAAAAUUCCAGUAUCAAUAUGUAAGGCUAUAUAGAAGAAAAUAACUAAUUUCUAGUGGAAAAAUAAUGAAACAAAAGCUGGUUUGCAUUAGAAGAAAUGAGAAAUCAUGAAAUUAAGGAAAGACAGGGGAGGAAUGGGUUUUAGAGACCUACUUACCGUAAACAAGGCCCUCCUGAGUAAAGAAGCUUGGAGGUUGGUUAAGAAUCCGGAUGCUUUGUGGAGUAAAUUAUUAAAAUGGCUAUUUCUUUCGAAAAUAUUUUUGGCAUACUGAUAAAGGUUCUAAGACAUCAUGGGGUUGGCAAAGUUUAGUUCAAGGAAGGGAGGCCAUAGCAGAUUCCGUGAAAUAGUCGAUUGGGAAUGGUCAAAAUGUUAACAUCAGAACAGAUAAAUGGCUGAAGAGAGGACUAAUUGAAGGGUCAGCAAACAGAAAUGAUCCACAACAAGUUUCUGAGUUAAUGAAUUUUGAAGCAGAACAAUGGAAUGAAACAUUGUUAAACAACCUCUUUGAUGAAUAGACCAUUCUAAGGAUGAACUGUUAAACAACCAUUCAGGAGAUCCUUGCAAUCCCAAUUAACCGUCAACUUGCAAUGGAUGAACUGAUAUGGACAGGAACUAAAGAUGGGUCUUUUACGCUGAAAAAUGGCUAUAACAUUCUAAGAGACCGAGCGACGGCCAAUAUUGCAAUAGAACACCCCUCAUCUUCAUACCGAACAUUGACAGACCUAUGGAAGGCUCUAUGGAAAAUGCGAAUCAACCCUAAAGUGAAGAUUUUUAUUUGGAAUGUUUGUCAAAACGCUAUCCCAUCCAAGGAGAAUUUAUGGAAAAGAACAUUUUUAUCUGAUCUGGUAUGUGAACUUUGCCAAGAAAGCAUGGAAACGGCCGAACAUAUCCACCUUCUUUGCCCUUGGACUAAACGGGUAUGGAGUUACCCGAAAAUCAACCUACAAGUGAAUGCACGAGAGGUUACACGCAUUGACAAGUGGCUGGUGCGAUUUAUAAGCAAGGACACGCACCUACCAUCCUUGGAAUUGAUCUCAAACGCCCUAUGACAGAUCUAGAAAGAGAUAAACUAUAUCUUUCGUGGUACAAAGCCGGACGCCUGCAGAGUAGUAGAUCUAGCCAGAUUUCAGCAAGAUAGCUACGAAAAAUGGGGCUUUAUGCAUCCUCAAGCCAAAAAACCAGCAAAAUUAGAGCAAAUCGAGAUACCUCAAACAUAGGAAGCUCUGGCAGCAGGCACUUUAAAAAUCAACGACGAUGGAUCGAUUUGUGAGGGCUCGACGGAAGGAGUGGUCGCCUGCAUCAGACGAGACUCCUUCGGCUGCCUGGUGGACGGUUUCACUAAAGCUGUUUGGGCGAAGUCGAGUUUUCAGCUGGAAACGCUAGCUGUUCUUGAAGCUCUGAAGCACAUAAAAUAGAAGCAGAUGGGCGUGUUUUUGAUCGAGACUGACAGCCAAAGUCUCGUGAAC
rnacentral:lncRNA from 1 species